rnacentral:lncRNA from 1 species
UGCUAACACUUGCCUGCCUCUCAGGCCAGUGUCUUGGGACUGACGCCGCUGUGUCCGCCGACGUCCUCCGUUACGUCUUCGGUGCUCGUGCUGCAGACUGACGCGCCCACCGCGCGCCGCGUGUGCUCGGUGCUGGAGACGGCGGUUGCCCACGCCAGAGCUCCCCACCACGCGCGCCUUGCCACCGCCUUGUCCUAGGCAGCCACCGAGGGAUAUAGGCCACUUGGAACGUGGCGCGUGGGGGCGCGAACCACGUGUGUGGCGAUCGUGCUGUGUGGCAAGCAGGGUGCUGGUGCUGCUGUGUGGCAAGCAGGGUGCUGGUGCUGCUGUGUGGCAAGCAGGGUGCUGGUGCAGGUAGUAGUGCUUUGGGGUGGCCACGAUUACUGGCAGUCGUUAAAUGAUAUGCAAAUGAAGAAAUGUGCAUUGUAAUACUGAAAUAGACGUUAACAGUAUGUUAUUGUAAUAGCUAACCUGCGAGGAGUAACAUUUAUUUCAAAUUGCUUACCAAUAACUGUAGUCCUGUUAAUAUCAUCGAGAAGCUAUAUAUUUUUUAAUAUAUACAUGCUGUCUGUGUUUAUAUACAGCUGUCGGGAAAUAUACAAUUGCGUUUUUGGACGAAAUGUGGAAUUGACUGCCUGAUCUUUGCCUUAUGUUAUUUCUCUGUUAGAAUCUUGUAUCAUAUUGACAACUUCAUCAGCUGGGGAAUCGAUUCUUGCAAGACCUUACACAGUUACAUGAGCUGCUUUGAGGCCGGCACUGUCUGCCUUGAUGUGAGGUCACUGCCGCAGGAAUGAUUUUGAAAGCCCAAGAAUAAUGACAAUUGAAAAAUCUGCGCUUCUGGGUCAUAAUGCUAUGCAAGACUGCUACUAUAAGCUUACCUACAUUUUUUAUUCAUUUUGUGAGCAGGAACUAAAGUAUUAGUGAUGGUGUAACUGUACUGUCGACCAAUGCUAGUUCAAUGUUGAUUUAAAUUGUGUACCAAAGAUGGCAACCAAAGUAACUAGAUGCAGCAUUUUGGACUAUUAGGUUGCAAGAACACGUCAAUCGCUUCAAAAUAUGUGGAACAUUUUUCGCAGAGCAGCCUCUGGAAUCUUGAAACUUGGCUUGAAUAUGCCUAUUAGAAAUGAGCUGAAAAUUGCUGGUAGGUAUUCCAUUAUGUUUUAAAUUAAUUUGAAUAUGGAAGAAAUAUGUAGGAAGCUGUAAAUAUUGAAUAACAUGUUACAUCCAACGUGCCCAUUAAUAGUCAUCGAGCAAUAAAUAUAUUUUAUACUCACACGAGACCUAAGUAAGUCGCACACAAUUCCACCAUUUCAUUGUAGGGAUAAAAUCAUGCCAACUCGGUCAUUCAUCCAAUUCUUGUUGAUAAAUUAGUACCCAGCUUAUCCAGGAUGUUUUGUAAUGCAAAUAAAAUGUAAAUAAAAUAAAAUAAAACCGUUCAACACGCUUCGUGGUAAAUGCAAUCGAGGGAUCUUCGCAACCAGCGAUCUCACUCCUUCCUGUUGCUGUUUCAUAUCCAUUGCCUGACUGAUCAAAAUAUUGCAUCGAACUUUUACAAAUUGAAUAUUUAGACUUCAUCAGCAUCAGAAAUUUCGAUAGACUCGAAUCAGCAUGGACGUGUCAGCAUCCAUCUCACUUUCAGGGUACUAAAGCUGCAUUUCAGUUAAUCUUUUAGUAAAUAAUAUCUUCAUGAUUUCAUCUAUUUCGCUCCUUACACUUUUUCAAUUUCCCCUAUUCGUUAAUUUCGCUUCUUCCCUUUGCUUUUCCUCUUCGCUUACCUGUCUUGACUCAGAAGAGAAGCUAAAUCGUCUGCAUUUGUAAGUAGAUUUCCUUCUCUGUCAUGCGUCACGUCAUGCAAACUGUCCAAACAGCAAAGAAUAGUUAUUGAUAAUCAACUGUUUUGCUGAGUAUGAAACAGUCAAUAAAAUUACUAUCUGUAAAAUAUUUUACUGAAUUGAACGUGAAACAUGAUACUGAAAACACUUUACAAGCAUUACGUGUCUGAAAUUUCAUGUAGAUAAAUUCUGCAGAUGUGUACAAUCUUUAACAUUAAUUUUCUUUGCUCACAAAUUUGUCCCUAUAUUUCCUUGCAGAUAGUCAAGUUAUUUGCGAUUCCCAUGAGUGUAAAGUUGAUGUUUUUUAUCAUUCAAAGGUGGAGUAUCUGAUUUAAAUAUUUAUUAAUUAAUGGCACGCAUACUUUCGCUGCUGCCCGCUGUCCUGGUAACUUGUGUUUGUGUGUUUUCUCUUCAACCCGCGGGAAUGUUGUGUGUCGAAACCUAAGUUUAUUUUUGAUUGAUAGCGUUUUUUAUAUACAAAUUUGUUAUAUUGCAUUGUUGUUAUUAAA